AGGAAAGAGAGAUCCUGAGAGUUCCCUGCACAGCAGGUGAUGCAAUGAUAUGUGAGAAAGAGGAGCAGAAUUCUCAGCAGGAAAAUGUUGACCAAGUGGCUAAACACAGAGAAUUAUUGCAAAGAACGAAAAGGAAUGUGUCCAGGAGUCAUGAGCAGGGAAAAUGCUGUGAGAUUCAGCACAGACCAGAAAGAGAGCAAGGAAACCAUCCAGGAACCAUAGCAGUGAGAUAUCUACUGGAAGCUUGUAGAUUAUUGUUACCCCUGAUCACUGCAAGAGGUAUGUCUGAGUCCUAUUGAAGGAGUCAUGUAAAUAUAUGGAAAAUUAUUCCCAUAUGGUAUUGUCAUGAAAGUGAGUCCAAAGUUCUUGUUGGGAAUGGCCCAUUCAAGUGGGAGGGAAUUGUCACCUGUCCAUUGCUAGCCAGUUAUGAGAUGUGUUGCUGCAUUGUCAACUUUUGCACCAGCCCAGAAAAGGCAAUGGAAAACUAUCAAAGACAAAUUAUAGACAUCGAAACUCUGUGGAAGUGUAAAUGACAAUAUGACAAUGAGGAAAUGGUCCUUUCUGUGAAUAUACACAAAAGACUGAUUCAUUCUAUAACAGGGUGGAGCGAAACACUCUGGGUCCAUUCACCAAGGAGAUCACUAAUGACCAGUGGUGCUUGAAGAAAGGCAGGCCCCUGGCUCCUAGGGACUAGCAAUCACUGCAAUAGACUGUCACCUCAGACUUCAGUCUACUUAGGUAGGAAAGGUAACUAUUAAAAAGUGUAGGUUGCAUUUUGUGAUUUUGUUUUGUUGGUAACAGUUGGUUUCCAUCAUUCACAUUUGUUUGUUUAUAUCUUUAUCCCUUGUUAAGGAAAUUUCCCUUUGUUCAAUAACUGUGCUCAAGUGCUAUGUGUGAUCCAGUAGCAGUGGGCUACAGUAAAACUGGUAACCUGGGAUGUACCAUUGCUUUGGGCAGAGAGGAUCUGGGAUUUUUCUGAGCCCUGGUCUACUCUAGGGGAGGGAAUCAGUCUAAGUUAUGCAACUUC